rnacentral:lncRNA from 1 species
CCCCAGGUCAGAUGACCCCGGGGGCCAGCGGCUCCCUGUCGACUUCACCAGAGACAGUAGACAGACGCACACAUCUGAAGAACUGGGGCUCGCCACACACCUCUGAAUCCUGGACAAGCUCGCCAAGGCCCCCACACGCUCCGGCAGGAGUCCAGCCGGGCAGCGCGGCCUCCUCAGAGACGGUCCCCAUGUUGGCUGGGGCUUCUGGCCCUCUUGGCUGGCGGCUUUCACAUUGUCAUCUCGUCACUAUCUGGAUUUUUCUUCUGGGUUUUAUUUUUUAGGGGGUAGAUUUUAUUGUUUCUGAAAAAUCUCUAGAUCCAGGACCGCACUAUGAGCAUUGGGAUUUGGAUUUGUACUUACAGCUGAGCACCUUCUUUGAGGUGCGUUUUUAAAAAUAAAACAGAAAUGCGUUCUUGUACAACCUGCUCCAACUGGACCAAGGCUAUCAGCACAGGACCCCGGUUCCCGCCCCCCAACCUCUGCAUGACGGUCUCAAGGAAGCCUGGAACCCCUCCUCACAGCCCUCUUUUGCCCUGACUUGCUCGGCCCUCUCUUUUAUAUUCCCCAUGUCCGUGUAUAUGUUGCUUGUUUGUUUAUUUAUUGAGAUAUUGUUACAAGCCAAGUGCGCACUCCAUGCCUGUUUGCCCUGCCCCUGCCCAGAGCAAUAAAGACACCCACACUACCCUGGCCUCCGUACCUCUAUUCUCACCCGUGCAUCACAGCCGUAGCUCCAGUCUGGAGAAGCAGAACC